rnacentral:rRNA from 1 species
GACGAACGCUGGCGGCGUGCUUAACACAUGCAAGUCGAACGGAAAGGCCCUGCUUUUGUGGGGUGCCCGAGUGGCGAACGGGUGAGUAACACGUGUGUAACCUGCCCUUGACUAUGGGAUAACUUCAGGAAACUGGGGCUAAUACCGGAUAGGAGCUCCUGCUGCAUGGUGGGGGUUGGAAAGUUACGGCGGUUGGGGAUGGACUCGCAGCUUAUCAGCUUGUUGGUGGAGUAGUGGUUUACCAAGGCUUUGACGGGUAGCCGGCCUGCGAGGGUGACAGGCCCCUUCAGGGAUGAGUCACGCCCCAGCCUCCUACCAUAGGAAGCAGUGGCGACUAUUACAUAGUUGGCGGAAGCCUGAUGUUGAAACGCCGGGUGCGGAAUGACUGCCUUCGGGGUAUACACAAAUUUAGCCAGUGACGGAGCAUACAUAGCGCUAAGGGCUAAAGAAGCGACGGCUAACUACGAA